UGGGGAAUUUUGGACAAUGGGCGAAAGCCUGAUCCAGCAAUGCCGCGUGUGUGAAGAAGGCCUUCGGGUUGUAAAGCACUUUUGUCCGGAAAGAAAUCCUUGGCUCUAAUACAGUCGGGGGAUGACGGUACCGGAAGAAUAAGCACCGGCUAACUACGUGCCAGCAGCCGCGGUAAUACGUAGGGUGCAAGCGUUAAUCGGAAUUACUGGGCGUAAAGCGUGCGCAGGCGGUUUGCUAAGACCGAUGUGAAAUCCCCGGGCUCAACCUGGGAACUGCAUUGGUGACUGGCAGGCUAGAGUAUGGCAGAGGGGGGUUAGAAUUCCACGUGUAGCAGUGAAAUGCGUAGAGAUGUGGAGGAAUACCGAUGGCGAAGGCAGCCCCCUGGGCCAAUACUGACGCUCAUGCACGAAAGCGUGGGGAGCAAACAGGAUUAGAUACCCUGGUAGUCCACGCCCUAAACGAUGUCAACUAGUUGUUGGGGAUUCAUUUCCUUAGUAACGUAGCUAACGCGUGAAGUUGACCGCCUGGGGAGUACGGUCGCAAGAUUAAAACUCAAAUGAAUUG
rnacentral:rRNA from 1 species